ACACCUUUCUCGGCAUUUUAGCUAAUAUCAAGUGAAGUAUCUGUUCUUAUCAGUUUAAUAUCUGGUAUGUGAGUCAUCGGCUCACACGAUAUUAAAUUUAUUUUUUUCAUGGGGGAGUUCCCGGUACAUCAGCUUGCUGCUGGGUUCUGGGUUCUCCCUUGCGUUGCACUACGCCAAUGGCCUGGCGCACUCCCA